UUUAUUUCUUAUAGCAUUAUGAUAAUUUGUUAGCUCUUGUCUUCAGCAUGUUAAUAUUCUCAAGCUGAACAAAUUUAAACAGAAAAGAGACACAAAGCAGUAAAAGUGUGUGAAUUAAAGACUAAACCCAUUUUAAAGAGAAAGAACAGAUGAAGACUGAUUACUGAUUAUAACGUGUAUGUGUGUGUGUGUGAUGUGUGUGUGUGUGUGUGUGUGAGAGUGUGUGUGUGUGUGUGUGUGAGGUGUGUGUGUGUGUGUUAAAAUGUCUGAUCAUACAGAAGCUAAUAAAAUACACAAUCUUACAGAACAGCCUGAGUGAAUAAAUUCAUUUAGCUAAUGUUUCUGUAUUUUACAUCUUUAAAACUUCAAAUUCAAAACAUUCUAGAAAUCCAGAUUGUGAAAAUCUCAAUUAAAUUAAAGAUUAAAAGGAAAUCAGCUGAGAAACCUACAGAGUAAAAAAAUAAAA